AACGUUUCGGGGAGUUGGAGUAAGCUUUGAUCCGAAAAUAUCCGAAUGAGGAAACUCUCUAACUUCUUACUGAAUCUAUAAGUAAAGAAAGAGUGAACCUAGGGAAUUGAAACAUCUUAGUACCUAGAGGAAAAGAAAGUAAAAACGAUUCCCGGAGUAGUGGCGAACGAAAUGGGAUCAGCCUAAACUUUUAGUAGUUUUAUUAAAAGGGUUGUGGGGUAAAGAAAUCUGAAAAGAGAAAAAGAAAUUAAAGAAAUUUUAUUUCGACUUAAAAAUUAGGUGAAAUAACUGGAAAGUUAUACCAAAGAAAGUGAUAGUCUUGUAACCAAAAAUUUUUAAAAACUUUUUAUUCCCGAGUAGCAUGGGACACGUGGAAUCCCGUGUGAAUCUGCGAGGACCACCUCGUAAGGCUAAAUAUUCCUGGAUGUCCGAUAGCGAAUAGUACCGCGAGGGAAAGGUGAAAAGAACCCCGGGAGGGGAGUGAAAUAGAACGUGAAAUUGCAUGCCUACAAACAGAAGGAGAACGACUUAGCGUUUAACUUCGUGCCUGUUGAAGAAUGUUCCGGCGACUUAUAGUUAGUGGCAGGUUAAGAUAGAGAUAUCGGAGCCAGAGUGAAAGCGAGCUUGAAUAGAGCGUUAGUCACUAGUUAUAGACCCGAACCCGGUUGAUCUAACCAUGGCCAGGAUGAAACUUAGGUAACACUGAGUGGAGGUCCGAACCGACUGAUGUUGAAAAAUCAGCGGAUGAGCUGUGGUUAGGGGUGAAAUGCCAAUCGAAACCGGAGCUAGCUGGUUCUCCCCGAAAUGUAUUUAGGUGCAGCGGUUAAUAUUAUAGCGUAGGGGUAAAGCACUGUUUCGGUGCGGGCUGGUAAUUCGGUACCAAAUCGAGGCAAACUCUGAAUACUACGUGUACAGUUAACCAGUAAGACUAUGGGGGAUAAGCUUCAUAGUCAAGAGGGAAACAGCCCAGAUCACCAGCUAAGGCCCCUAAAUAAUUACUAAGUGAUAAAGGAAGUGGAAAGGCUUAGACAACCAGGAGGUUUGCUUAGAAGCAGCAAUCCUUUAAAAAGUGCGUAAUAGCUUACUGGUCUAGCAAUUCUGCGCCGAAAACUUAUGGGACUAAGUAAUUUGCCGAAGCUGUGAGAUAAAUUUUUAAUUUAUCGGUAGGGGAGCGUUCUGUUGUAGAAUGAA
rnacentral:rRNA from 1 species